rnacentral:tRNA from 1 species
GGGGUUGUAGCAUAACUCGGCUAGUGUUGCCGGCUCCAGACCGGUAGAUCAGGGUUCAAAUCCCUGCAACCCCA